GUCAUUUGUUCCCUCACCCUUACUUUCGAAUUCCCUCCCCUUCUCUACCGCCCGUAACCCCGUUCUCUCUUUAUUCUUCGUCAGCAAAACCGUAAGGUUCCAGGACUUCAGGAUACUCCACGGCUCCACUGCUCCCAGCAUCUGGAUUUAGGGAUAUUUGGUGAGAUGGUUCCAAAAACAGGACUUUUCCCCUCGGCAAUCUUUUUGUGGUCUUCGUCAGUCGGUUGAAAAAAUGACGCAAAAUCUUGUGACUAUGCAUAGCUGAGGCUCUUCUUGAAAUUGUUCCCAAAAAGAAACCCAAACUGCUACGUGACUCAAUCCGCGAAGCACACUGUAACUACUUGACACGCUCCAACUCACUACCUCACUUGGACUCAAAAGUUGUUGGUCUUAAGGUUCGUUAGGUUUGCGCCUUGCAUCAUUUUUCCAUCUUUCUAUCAUCUCUGGCGACCCAUCUAAGGGCUUCGUGUCAACUAACCCAAUGAUUCCAGCUCAGAUACCAACGUACCUCUACUUCCAGUUAGAAAACUCGCUCGCUUUCAGGUGUCAAAGGGAUUAUAGUAACAAGUCAUGUGAAACUCAGUCAGUCUAAGGUUCAAAAUUCCAUCUCUUACUUGCCCGAUACGUGACGCGAAGACGCUUAUUGUACAACUCUUCCGGAUAGCUCUGCCGGAUCUUUGCGUGCAUUGAAAUCGAUUCUGUUCCUCCGUACCUAUCCAAAUUUCACUUGAAAACUUCAGACUUGAAAUCUCUCCUUUGAAAUUUUAAUUUGAAAAAAAUUGAAUUGUCAAAAGAAAAGUCUUCUCUUACCAGAAGUUCUUCAAAAAAAACCUACCAAAAUUUGAAUUGUAACCUUAUACUUUACUGUGCAUAUAUAUUAAACUUUAAAAAAAUCUAAUUAGCAAACAAUAAAUAAUGGUAAAUUCCAAAGUCUUAAGUGUUUUUUGAUCCUUCUCUCUUCAAAUAGGUAUUUUGAAACAUUUCGAACAACUAUUGCGAAAUCUCGGAUCAUCAAGCACCCACGACGCGCUAUUGCGAAAUCAGCCCCGUAGUGCACUGAAUGACUCAUCGCUGUCUGUAUCUCAAUACCAGGUAAAAACCAAUUACUUUCUCAACUGUUUUUGCAGGAUUUUUUGGGAUGACUUUGUUCCGGUGGCAAUUAGCAUUUCGCAACUUUAGGAAAAUUCCAGAACGUUUUCAUUUCUUCCGAAGAAAAAAACUUUGAGAUUCAAUUUUUGCAUACUGUACUUUAAUAAGUAGUUUCAGUAACAACUAUUUUAGACUAAAGAUGUCAGGCGCAGCAGUUAUAUCUUCAAAAUUCAAAUUGAAUAUCAUCAUUCACUCUCACUAAUGGACACAAACUGAAUUAUUGGGUUUCUUGUAAAUAAAUAAAAUUUUAAAAUAAAAUUAACUUUCAAAAAUCUACUUUCAAAAACGUAAGUUCGUGUGAAUCAAAAGUUUCAGAAAACCGUCGAAUGACGCUUUAAAACUGGUUGUUGUGGAAAAUAAUAUUGUGACUCCGGUUUAUAUGUGUGAUGAAAUGUUAGAAAAUUGCAACGUGCCCAAUUACUUCAUACCAACAUCUAUUCGCGUCUUGAUGCUUUUCUUUAUGAAUGCCGAAGCCUUUUACUAUUCUCUCAAAUCGAACCGUAAAUUUAAAAUUUGGAAGACUAGACUAUUUACUCGAACCAAAAACUCAAACCAAU
ensembl:ncRNA C30E1.9 ncRNA